GACGAACGCUGGCGGCGUGCUUAACACAUGCAAGUCGAACGGAAAGGCCCCUUUGGGGGUACUCGAGUGGCGAACGGGUGAGUAACACGUGAGUAACCUGCCCUUGACUUCGGGAUAACUUCAGGAAACUGGGGCUAAUACCGGAUAGGAAUCCUUGCUGCAUGGUGGGGGUUGGAAAGCUUCGGCGGUUUUGGAUGGACUCACGGCUUAUCAGCUUGUUGGUGGGGUAGUGGCUUACCAAGGCUUUGACGGGUAGCCGGCCUGAGAGGGCGACCGGCCACAUUGGGACUGAGAUACGGCCCAGACUCCUACGGGAGGCAGCAGUGGGAAAUAUUGCACAAUGGGCGGAAGCCUGAUGCAGCAACGCCGCGUGCGGGAUGACGGCCUUCGGGUUGUAAACCGCUUUCAGCAGGGGCGAAGCUUGUGGUGACGGUACCUGCAGAAGAAGCACCGGCUAACUACGUG
rnacentral:rRNA from 1 species